rnacentral:rRNA from 1 species
UAGGGAAUCUUCCACAAUGGACGCAAGUCUGAUGGAGCAACGCCGCGUGAGUGAAGAAGGUUUUCGGAUCGUAAAGCUCUGUUGUUGGUGAAGAAGGAUAGAGGCAGUAACUGGUCUUUAUUUGACGGUAAUCAACCAGAAAGUCACGGCUAACUACGUGCCAGCAGCCGCGGUAAUACGUAGGUGGCAAGCGUUGUCCGGAUUUAUUGGGCGUAAAGCGAGCGCGGGCGGAAUGAUAAGUCUGAUGUGAAAGCCCACGGCUCAACCGUGGAACUGCAUCGGAAACUGUCAUUCUUGAGUGCAGAAGAGGAGAGUGGAAUUCCAUGUGUAGCGGUGGAAUGCGUAGAUAUAUGGAAGAACACCAGUGGCGAAGGCGGCUCUCUGGUCUGCAACUGACGCUGAGGCUCGAAAGCAUGGGUAGCGAACAGG